rnacentral:ncRNA from 2 species
CGGCUCCACCAGGGGAGCCCCGACAAGGGGCUGAGAUACCGCUGGGCCCCUCGAUCCCGAUCCGGGAUCGCUCCGGGGCAGCGCGGUGACCCUUCGAACCUGAUCCAGUUAAUGCUGGCGUAGGGAUGGUGCGAGGGCUCCGCG